rnacentral:rRNA from 1 species
UCCGGAAUUAUUGGGCGUAAAGAGCUCGUAGGCGGUUUGUCGCGUCUGCUGUGAAAACUGGAGGCUCAACCUCCAGCCUGCAGUGGGUACGGGCAGACUAGAGUGCGGUAGGGGAGAUUGGAAUUCCUGGUGUAGCGGUGGAAUGCGCAGAUAUCAGGAGGAACACCGAUGGCGAAGGCAGAUCUCUGGGCCGUAACUGACGCUGAGGAGCGAAAGCAUGGGGAGCGAACAGGAUUAGAUACCCUGGUAGUCCAUGCCGUAAACGUUGGGAACUAGAUGUAGGGACCAUUUCCACGGUUUCUGUGUCGCAGCUAACGCAUUAAGUUCCCCGCCUGGGGAGUACGGCCGCAAGGCUAAAACUCAAAGGAAUUGACGGGGGCCCGCACAAGCGGCGGAGCAUGCGGAUUAAUUCGAUGCAACGCGAAGAACCUUACCAAGACUUGACAUAUACGAGAACGGGCUAGAAAUAGUUCACUCUUUGGACACUCGUAAACAGGUGGUGCAUGGUUGUCGUCAGCUCGUGUCGUGAGAUGUUGGGUUAAGUCCCGCAACGAGCGCAACCCUCGUUCUUUGUUGCCAGCACGUCAUGGUGGGAACUCAAAGGAGACUGCCGGGGUCAACUCGGAGGAAGGUGGGGAUGACGUCAAAUCAUCAUGCCCCUUAUGUCUUGGGCUUCACGCAUGCUACAAUGGCCGAUACAAAGGGCUGCGAUACCGCAAGGUGGAGCGAAUCCCAAAAAGUCGGUCUCAGUUCGGAUUGAGGUCUGCAACUCGACCUCAUGAAGUCGGAGUCGCUAGUAAUCGCAGAUCAGCAACGCUGCGGUGAAUACGUUCCCGGGCCUUGUACACACCCGCCCGUCAAGUCAUGAAAGUCGGUAACACCCGAAGCCAGUGGCCUAACCCGCAAGGGGAGGAGCUGUCGAAG